rnacentral:rRNA from 1 species
AAGCGUGCGCAGGCGGUUAUAUAAGACAGAUGUGAAAUCCCCGGGCUCAACCUGGGAACUGCAUUUGUGACUGUAUAGCUGGAGUGCGGCAGAGGGGGAUGGAAUUCCGCGUGUAGCAGUGAAAUGCGUAGAUAUGCGGAGGAACACCGAUGGCGAAGGCAAUCCCCUGGGCCUGCACUGACGCUCAUGCACGAAAGCGUGGGGAGGCAAACAGGAUUAGAUACCCUUGU